rnacentral:misc_RNA from 1 species
UCCGAGUUGACCCCGGCAGUCUCUCACGAGUCCCCACCAUGACGUGCUGGCAACAUGAGACAAGGGUUGCGCUCGUUGCGGGACUUAACCCAACAUCUCACGACACGAGCUGACGACAGCCAUGCACCACCUGUGAUCCUGCCCCGAAGGGAAGCCCUGUUUCCAGGACGGUCAGGAACAUGUCAAACCCAGGUAAGGUUCUUCGCGUUGCAUCGAAUUAAUCCACAUGCUCCGCCGCCUGUGCGGGCCCCCGUCAAUUUCUUUGAGUUUUAGCCUUGCGGCCGUACUCCCCAGGCGGGGUACUUAUCGCGUUAGCUACGACACUGCGUGACUAAGUCACCCAACAUCCAGCACACAUCGUUUACAGCGUGGACUAC